rnacentral:rRNA from 1 species
AGGACGAACGCUGGCGGCGUGCCUCAUACAUGCAAGUGGAGCGACGAACCAGGAUUUAUCCUGGGGCAAAGCCGCGAACGGGUGAGUAACACGUGGGUUACCUGCCCCGAUGAUUGGGACAACCCGAGGAAACUCGGGCUAAUACCAAAUGUGUUCUUGGUCGUGAUGACCAAGAAGAAAGGAAGCCUCGGCCUCCGCAUCGGGAUGGGCCCGCGGCCCAUUAGCUAGUUGGUGGGGUAAUGGCCUACCAAGGCGACGAUGGGUAGCUGGUCUGAGAGGAUGACCAGCAUCACUGGGACUGAGACACGGCCCAGACUCCUACGGGAGGCAGCAGUGGGGAAUAUUGGACAAUGGGCGCAAGCCUGAUCCAGCCAUGCCGCGUGGAUGAUGAGGCCUUAGGGUUGUAAGUCUUUAACGGGAGAUAAUGACGUACCGUAGAAUAAGCCCGGCUAACUUCGUGCCAGCAGCCGC